UCUCUAACUGCACUUUACUGUCUUUAGUCUGUGUUAUUUGUACCGACUGUCUCCUGUACCACGGUGCAGCAGAUUAAUCAUAAUCUAUCCUUCUCUCUCUGACUAAUCUUUAGAACCAGUGUUGGGAGAAACGUGUUACAAAAGAAAAAUGCAAUUAACCAUAACGCACGUUACAGCAGCAGAAAAUAUGAGUCCAUGAGUAAAGUUAUUUCCUGUUAAAGUCUUUUACACACAGGUCUGAAAUACAGCAACACAUGGGAAGUGCUCACGCCAUGCAUCUGUGGACUGAGCCGGACUCGAACCGGCGACCCUCCGGUUCCCAGGCAGACAGAACUUUCCCAACACAUUCUACAGUUCGAUCUGCAGAUCAUUCGAUUCUCAUCAAGAAUCACACUGAGACUCAGAGGAGGCGACAGAUUGAACUCACAUUUGCAAUGGAGUCAUCAAAGUAUCGCUCCAACGCAGACUCGUCCAUGAGUGAAGAACCAUCUGAGCUGAUCCAGGACCUUCCAGGACCUGGUUCCAGGCAGGGAGCCGCACAGCUGCAUGCAAUCACUCUGAUGGGAUCCUGAACUCAUCAAACAGCUGCUGCUUUUAAUGUGUUUAGAGCUGCACGGCCCCCUUUUUACUUCAUUUGGAUCGCUCAAAGAGAUUCUGCUGUCAUCUCUGCUAAUCAAAGUAGUAAAUAGAGGAAACAAACUUUGAGCUCAUUAAUUGACAAAAGAUCAUUUUUCCUUUGAAAGCAAAGAUUUUUAUUGUGUCAUUUCUCUUGUUUCCUAAAAUGAAAGAGGUUCAUUUCAAAUGAUAUUUAUCCAUGUAAAGAUUUAAUUUAUUGUCUUUGUCAUCUUUCCUACAGCUCACUGUUUUUGUGACGAAGCAUGUGACGCCUGUUUUUGUUCCACAACAUUAAGUUUGGUUGUUUUAUGGGAAAAAAAACAAAGAUAUUGAGUUUUUGUUUAAUAAUAUUUUCAUUAUAGCUAAAUUUGAUAAACACAAGUGCAGAUUUUUAUAAGUAAUGUGACUGGAAAGAACAGAGCCUCAAGAGUUAUUUGAUGAUUUUAUUUUAAUUUAUUUUGAAGUUGUUUGCUGCUUAGAUUUGAUGUUAAGUUUAUUUAUUACAUUCUUUUAAUUGUUUGUCAGCUCAGACCUGAAAUAUCAAACUCUGAUUGAACUCUUAAUAUUUCCAAUACUCACCUUAAAGCGAUCAAACUACUGAGGAGCUCCUGCUCAGCACAGGUCGAAGUGCUUUAAUGAGACAGUUGAGAUGUGUAGAGAUGUGUUUUCACAAAGGAACAAAAACAAACUAUAAAGUACAACUACAAAUGACUAAAUGUAAUAUACGAUAACGUUCCUCUAAACUUCUCUUAAACGUUUUUCCUCCUCCUUUUAACUUCCUUUGAAUUGUGUCUCAUGUUGUUGCAGCUCUGAUGUUUCUACUCAUUAAUAUAAUCUGUCCUUCAUGUUUAAAGGUUUAUUUGUACAGCACAUUUCAGCAACAAGGCAACUCAAAGCACUUUACAUAAAGCAUAAAAGCAACGUAGGGAAAUAAAGACAUUUAGAUAACAUUUUUAAAAAGAGUCAAAAUAAAUAAGAACUUUUUACCUUC